rnacentral:rRNA from 1 species
GGCGAACGGGUGCGUAACACGUGAGCAACCUGCCGAAUGCGUGGGGGAUAGCCGGCCCAACGGCCGGGUAAUACCGCAUACGUUCUCUCCGGGGAGUCCUGGGGAGAGGAAAGCUGUGGCGCAAGCCAUGGCGCGCGUCGAGGGGCUCGCGGCUUAUCAGCUAGUUGGUGUGGGUAACGGCCCACCAAGGCGACGACGAGUAGCUGGUCUGAGAGGAUGGCCAGCCACAUUGGGACUGAGAGACGGCCCAGACUCCUACGGGAGGCAGCAGUGGGGAAUCUUGCGCAAUGGCCGAAAGGCUGACGCAGCGACGCCGCGUGGGGGAUGACGCAUUUCGGUGUGUAAACCCCUGUUGCCCGGGACGAACACCUCCUUUUGGGGAGGCUGACGGUACCGGGUGAGGAAGCACCGGCUAACUCCGUGCCAGCAGCCGCGGUAAUACGGAGGGUGCGAGCGUUGUCCGGAAUCACUGGGCGUAAAGGGCGCGUAGGUGGCUACUUAAGCGUGUGGUGAAAGUCCGGGGCUCAACCCCGGAUCGGCCGUGCGAACUGAGUGGCUCGAGCACUGUAGAGGCAGGUGGAAUUCCGGGUGUAGCGGUGGAAUGCGUAGAGAUCCGGAAGAACACCGGUGGCGAAGGCGGCCUGCUGGGCAGUGGCUGACACUGAGGCGCGACAGCGUGGGGAGCAAACAGGAUUAGAUACCCUGGUAGUCCACGCCGUAAACGAUGGGCACUAGGUGCCUGGGGGAGCGACCCCCUGGGUGCCGUCGCUAACGCAUUAAGUGCCCCGCCUGGGGAGUACGGCCGCAAGGCUGAAACUCAAAGGAAUUGACGG